AAGAAAACAUGAAGAAAAAGAAGAAGCCUAUUCACUUCCUAAAAGCAGCCAUCUGCAGGCCCUCUGAGCUAUCUUCUUUGCACCCAUUCUUCUAUGAGCUUCUGCCAGCGCCAGGUUCACUGGGUGGAGACUGUGUACCCUAAGCCAAUUGACCACUGACCACUAUCAGGCAGGAGACAAGGGCUGUGCACGGAGCGAGCAGAGACCGGAGGAAGAGCUGCCUCGGCAUUCCUCAGCCCCGGCACUACAGCACGCAGCAGACCCUAGGCCUAACAGCUCACACCACCAGACCUUCACUUGUCUACAGAGGCUCAUGGCUCUGAUCUGCCCUAAACCCCACACGGGGGCUUGUAAGCAGUCUCGCAGGCACAUGCCUGUGAGCCCUCUGCGGGUGGCUACUACUUCCUGCUCUCCUACAGACCCCAGGGCUAGCUCCACAAGUCACUUCCUUUGUGCCUGAAAACGAUCUGCUGCAUGAGUGAAUGAGAACCGGCAGGUGUGCUCCCACUCGGUAACUUCGCAUCACCCCACCUGUGACGAAUGACCGUGCCAUAUCGCAGACUCAGAAACUGAAGACCACCAGCCAACAUGACUCCAGAAUGUAUGUGCAUUGCCUUGCCCAGGCCGUUCCCUUCCCUCUAAGAUGCAGGGCACCUUGGUUGGAACAGCUGAAACGCCGGGAGGGCGUGGCCAGAACCAGCCUCAGCGAGACACCAUCACAGUUGAAAUGUGGACUUCCACAGGAGCACUGGGUGUUCCUGGGUCUGGCUGUCGUUAAGGUCCCUCCAGAACCAUCUGCCUUUGCACCUGCAGCUUGAGUUGGCCCCUUGAUAGGCCAGGCGGAGGAAAGCCCAACAGAGCCAAUGUACCCGAAACUGGGGUCAAAAGCGGCCUUGACAAGACUCACCGUAGGAUGCUACAGCUAGAAUGAUGCUCGAUCCAGCCAGAGCCUAGGCCCAGACCUCAGAGCAAGGGGGGUGCAGCUUCUUUCACUAACGUAUUAGUGCCAAGCACGGGCUGGAAAGAGGCGAACCAGCAUCCAGAGAGCACUGGUUAAAGAAUCUCCAGCACAGCCUGGCAGCAGGCCAGCAUGCCGCCGGACAAAGGAACACAAAACUCCUUGUGGGCCAGCGAAACUGUGAGGAGAAGGGGCGCACAGCGAGCAUGCAGCAUGGCACCAGGGGUGUUGAAAACUGUCUCAUGUCUGCACACACGGCCUGCUGGCAUAUACACAGCGUAACUUCAGGAAAGCACCCAACAAGCACAUGGCAUUGGUGUCUUAACGGAGGGGACACGGAUGGCUAGAGGACAGGGUAACAGCUCCACCCCUGACCCCAUGGAGGCCAGGGACACCCUGCCCUGUGGUCCGCAUGGUGGACGUCCCGCAGCAGGACCCACUGCCACGCGGCACUCGGUGAGCUGCGGCAUCCGCAACUGUACGGGCAACAGGGAGUGAAGACAAGGAAGCCUAGUCGCGGCCCACCAUCCCCCGAAACGGGUGGUGAGAGCGCUGGCACUGUUGUAAGAAUUCCUGUGAUCCAAGCAAGGUCUCCCCAGUCCAUGAAAAUGACUGUGGAACUGCUUCUGUCAUUUAAAGUAAUGAUACAAACAAAAAGAAUGGAAGAGUCUUAGAGAGUCUGACACCCUCCAGUGUGGGAUGAAUGAAUUCCCAAGCUUUACGAAAGGCCUGAAAGGGCUCAAGCCCCUGGGUGAUCUGGCCCUGCCCCUCCGGAGCCUCCUUCAUGAUGCACUGCCUCAGUCCCUCCUCAUUUAUCUCUGAAGACCCCUAGCUUGAGCCACUGCCCUCCCUUGACACAUAACUCACUCUUCCCUGAGGCCCUGUGAUGCUCCCCAAAACCUAUGAGAGGAAGAGGCCACCUUUCCUGGGUGCCCCUACCAUACCAGGCUUCUCUGCACUCUUUAGCACCUAUAAUACCACACUUGCAUAUGUGUGUAUAUGCACAUGCGUAUGGAGAAAACGUUGACUUUUAAUUUUAAACAUACACACACACACACACACACACACACACACACACGAUGACCAAACCCGAAGGUGUGGCACCUUCUCACCCAGAGGAGCGGAAGCAGCCCUAGGUUCCAGCCACCUGGACAAAUGGGCUUGUGUGCCAAGGACAAAAAAGGUCACUGCUGAAAACAGGCUUCUGCCUUUGACAAGCACAGUGAGACAAACUGACCGUUCUGGUUUCUCCCCGAGAACUUACUGGGGCAGCAACUGUGCAGUGGCUUCUGAUCUCACCUCCUUCUCCUCAGUGAGACUGAACCUCAUCUUGACCUCAGGGAAGCAGGCUGUCUUCCCAAGACAGGCUGAGGCUUUUCUUGCUACUUUUGACAAGGACAGACUAGCUUUGUUCAUUCAUUCACUCGACAAACAUUGAUUAUCUGACUAUUUUGUGCCAGGCACAGUGGGGCACUCUGGAGAUACAAAGAAAACUGAGCUAUUGUAUUGUCCCUGCCCUGAAGGACACUUAAGUCUUAUGACAACCCAGAUCCAUGAUGUUGGCAGGGUGUGUCCAUAAAGAACUCUGGCAGUCUUCACACUGUGAAUGCCGCUAUGGGACACGAUGCCCCCGCAGCACGCAGUAAAGUGGAAUCUAACACUUGAGCAACUUCUCCAGAUCCUCAAGGAAUUACUAUCAACCAGUUGCACACCGAGGAGGAGAGGGUAAGAGGGCCUCCCACACACGGACGCAGGGGAGUCAGCCCCUCAGCACUCUGCACGCCAGCCCUCCAGGGUGUCCAGGGUGUCCUGGUAGACUUUCUUACUUUCAUGUUGUUUUUCCUUUUGGCUACUUAGCAGUGACCCCCUUCCUCCUAAUAGCUCCCGGAACUCUACCCUCUCUUAGGCCACUCAA